rnacentral:miRNA from 1 species
CAUGGGUUGUAGCAGUACUACAUGAAACUGAAGUACAACCAGAAGAACUGGAAGCUCUUUGACCUUCUGAAUGUCCUUGAGUUCAACCAGCUGAGGAUCUUUGUGAAGUCUGUGCAG